rnacentral:rRNA from 1 species
GUCUAUGGCCAUGCUACCCUGAAUAAGCCUGGAAGCUAAGCAGGGUCGGGCCUGGUUAGUACUUGGAUGGGAGACUACCUAGGAAGGCCAAGUGCUGUAGGCA